rnacentral:rRNA from 1 species
GGGGCGACUACCUUUGAAUAAGAAACGAAGGCGAGCUUAUGGUAUUAUUAAAAUCUCAUUAGCCUGACAGUGAGGGGGACACCCCUAGCUGGCACAAGGACCUACCCGUAUAGUAUAUAAUAUAUACGUAAUGGGCU